rnacentral:rRNA from 1 species
GUAGGUGGCAAGCGUUGUCCGGGAAUUAUUGGGGCGUAAAGCGCGCGCAGGCGGUUCUUUAAGUCUGAUGUGAAAGCCCACGGGCUCAACCGUGGAGGGUCAUUGGAAACUGGAGAACUUGAGUACAGAAGAGGAAAGCGGAAUUCCACGUGUAGCGGUGAAAUGCGUAGAGAUGUGGAGGAACACCAGUGGCGAAGGCGGCUUUCUGGUCUGUAACUGACGCUGAGGCGCGAAAGCGUGGGGAGCAAACAGGAUUAGAUACCCUGGUAGUCCACGCCGUAAACGAUGAGUGCUAAGUGUUAGGGGGUUUCCGCCCCUUAGUGCUGCAGCUAACGCAUUAAGCACUCCGCCUGGGGGAGUACGGCCGCAAAGGUUGA